GGUCGGAUGGCCGAGUGGUUAUGGCGCUGUGUUCAGGAAAUUUCAUGGAGUUUCGCAGUGGAGCAAUCCUCGUGGGUUCGAGUCCCACUCCGAUCA